rnacentral:lncRNA from 10 species
AGGCUGGUCUCGAACUCCUGACCUCAAGUGAUAAACCUGCCUCAGCCUCCCAAAGUGCGGGGAUUACAGGCAUAAACCAAUGCGGCCAGCCCCAUGUCAGCCUUUCUGAUGCUGCCAGGUACAACAGAUAAAGCACCUUUAAGCGUCAGCCAUUUAAAAAUACGGCCAGUGAACCCAGCGCUCCCCAAGUGUGAGUUGAGAAGGUAUGAAAGCGUGUGUCUCUCCCAAUUCACAUCUUGUUUCUAUUAAUACUAAAAAGGAGGAAGAAGUCCAUAGGAGAGCCCAGUUCUAACUUCUGGAAAAGCAUUCUCAGCUUCAAGAUGAAGCCCCAACCCCUGGCUCUUUUCCUCUCCCACCUUUCUCAGCUCCUCCCUGCAAUCCCACCACACUGCUCAGGAAAACAGAUGGGACUCACCUGGCUGCUGGCCCCUGGCAUGUUCUUACCAUGGCUCUGCACCCUCAGCUGAGCGGCAGGGCUGUGACACAGGUGCCGGCGUUCCCGGAGUCUGUAUUGACAUUCACAGGGUUUUUUCACAUAUGGUUUCUAUGUGAAGUCACGUCUGAGUGAUGUAAAUAGUUCCUAAUUAUUUUUCAGUAAGAUAACAGAGAAGAGCAGUGAUGGGUGCG